rnacentral:rRNA from 1 species
GAUGAACGCUGGCGGCGUGCCUAACACAUGCAAGUCGAACGAAUUACUUUAAAGGAAGUUUUCGGAUGGAAUUUAAAGUAGUUAGUGGCGGACGGGUGAGUAACGCGUGGGAAACCUGCCCUAUACAGGGGGAUAGCCUCGGGAAACUGGGAUUAAUACCCCAUAAAACUCUAGUAUCGCAUGAUACAUGAGCCAAAGAUUUAUCGGUAUAGGAUGGUCCCGCGUCUGAUUAGCUAGUUGGUGAGGUAACGGCUCACCAAGGCGACGAUCAGUAGCCGGCCUGAGAGGGUGAACGGCCACACUGGAACUGAGACACGGUCCAGACUCCUACGGGAGGCAGCAGUGGGGAAUAUUGCACAAUGGGGGAAACCCUGAUGCAGCGACGCCGCGUGAGCGAAGAAGGCCUUCGGGUCGUAAAGCUCUGUCCUAAGGGAAGAAACGGACGGUACCUUAGGAGGAAGCCCGGCUAACUACGUGCCAGCAGCCGCGGUAAUAGUACUCCUAU